AUUGAACGCUGGCGGCAUGCCUUACACAUGCAAGUCGAACGGUAACAGGUCUUCGGAUGCUGACGAGUGGCGAACGGGUGAGUAAUACAUCGGAACGUGCCUAGUAGUGGGGGAUAACUACUCGAAAGAGUGGCUAAUACCGCAUGAGAUCUACGGAUGAAAGCAGGGGAUCGCAAGACCUUGUGCUACUAGAGCGGCCGAUGGCAGAUUAGGUAGUUGGUGGGGUAAAAGCUUACCAAGCCGACGAUCUGUAGCUGGUCUGAGAGGACGAUCAGCCACACUGGGACUGAGAAACGGCCCAGACUCCUACGGGAGGCAGCAGUGGGGAAUUUUGGACAAUGGGCGAAAGCCUGAUCCAGCAAUGCCGCGUGCAGGAUGAAGGCCUUCGGGUUGUAAACUGCUUUUGUACGGAACGAAAAGCCCCGGGUUAAUACCCUGGGGUCAUGACGGUACCGUAAGAAUAAGCACCGGCUAACUACGUGCCAGCAGCCGCCGUAA
rnacentral:rRNA from 1 species